rnacentral:tRNA from 1 species
GUCUUCGUGGUGUAGUGGUCAGCACGCUCGACGCGUAACCGAGAGGUCCGUGGUUCGAUUCCUGGCGAAGGCG